rnacentral:rRNA from 1 species
AACGAACGUUAGCGGCGCGCCUAAUACAUGCAAGUCGUGCGAGAAAGGGCUUCGGCCCGCGUAAAGCGGCGCACGGGUGAGUAACACGUAGAUCAUCUCCCCUCGAGUGGUGGAGUAACCCCUCCGAAAGGAGGACUAAUACAGCAUGAGACCACGACCUCGCCGAGGUCGCGGCCAAAGCAGGCCACUACAUGUAAGCUUGCGCUUGAGGAUGAGUCUGCGGCCCAUCAGCUAGUUGGUAGGGUAUGGCCUACCAAGGCAAAGACGGUAGCUGGUCUGAGAGGAUGAACAGCCACACUGGAACUGAGACACGGUCCAGACUCCUACGGGAGGCAGCAGUAGGGAAUCUUGCGCAAUGGACGAAAGUCUGACGCAGCGACGCCGCGUGAGCGAUGAAGGCCUUCGGGUUGUAAAGCUCUGUGGGGAGGGAAGAAUAAGGGCAAGCUAAUACCUUGUCCGAUGACGGUACCUCCUUUAGCAAGCACCGGCUAACUCUGUGCCAGCAGCCGCGGUAAGACAGAGGGUGCAAACGUUGUUCGGAAUUACUGGGCGUAAAGCGCGC